CUCGACGGUAAGGGAGAGGUUAGUAAAGAGAGAAGGCGACACGCUCGACGGUAAGGGAGAGGUUAGUAAAGAGAGAAGGGGACACGCUCGACGGUAAGGGAGAGGUUAGUAAAGAGAGAAGGCAACACGCUCGACGGUAAGGGAGAGGUUAGUAAAGAGAGAAGGCGACACGCUCAACGGUAAGGGAGAGGUUAGUAAAGAGAGAAGGCGACACGCUCGACGGUAAGGGAGAGGUUAGUA